rnacentral:lncRNA from 1 species
AUGGCCAAGAGGCCAAAGCUCUGCGCCAGGACAUGGCAGGUGGUGGGCACAGCUGGCACAGCCACAGGGAGGGAAGGGGUGGCCCAGUGCCCGUUUUGGCCCGCGUUUCGGGGUGGUACAGUGCCCAUCUUGCCUGUGCUUUGGGGCGGCCUGGUUCCCGUUUUGCCCCAUGUUUCAGGACAGCCCAGUGCCAGCUCCACCCCAUGUUUUGCCCUGUGUUUUGGGGCAGCCUGGUGCCUGUUUUGCCCCAUGUUUUGGGGCAGCCUGGUGCCCAUUCUGCCCCAUGUUUUGGGCCAGCCCGGUGCCCAUUCUGCCCCGUGUUUUGGGGCAGCCCAGUGCCCAUUUUGUCCCAUGUUUAGGGGCAGCCCAGUGCCCAUUUUGCCCAUGUUUCAGGAUGGCCCGGUGCCUGUUUUGCCCCAUGUUUUGGGGCAGCCCGGUGCCCGUUCUGCCCGUGUUUUGGGGCAGCCUGGUGCCUGUUUUGCCCCGUGUUUUUGGGCAGCCCAGUGCCUGUUUUGCCCCGUGUUUUGGGGCAGCCUGGUGCCCGUUCUGCCCGUGUUUUGGGGCAGCCCGGUGCCCGUUCUGCCCGUGUUUCCGGGCGGCCCUGCCGUGCUCGUGUGCGCGGCCCCUUCCGCCUGCCCGUCAAGCCCAGCCAGCCGAGCGCUAAUCUCGGCGGGACAGCGGGCAAGGGGGAAACAGGGGCCUCUCAGCAGCCUGGGGUGCAGCUAACCGUACUCCCGCAGCCGUUUGCCUCCCCAAGGCCUUUCCCGGCCCAUUUCCUCCGGGGCGGCCGUGCCACAGGCCCCCAUGCCUGUCCCUGCUGCUGGGGACACGUGGGCGCUCCAGCUGCAGCGGGGCAGCGCGGCUCGGCCGUGCCGAAGCCACACGCGGUCACCUCCCUGCGUGCUCAGAUGCUCUCUCCGCUCAGUGCAACCUCUCUCGCAGCACUGCAGACUCUCUGCUGCCCCGGGCUGCCAGGCAGUGUCUCCUGAGUGCAGGGGAGAUUGCAGAGUGGCCCCAGCAGCCAGGCUGCAGCGGGGAUCCUGUGCUCCUGCUCACCCCCGCCAGCUCCAGCAGCGCAGCAGAGAACAGGGGCUGCACUCUGGGGUCUGUCAGUUCCCAGCGUGGAUUCAAUGCUGUUGUGAUUCUCAGCCAUGUCAGAUGCUAAUGACCCAGGGAACUGGGAUGUUUUCAAAUGAAGCAUCUUCUCCCUGCUGGAAAUGCCAGUGCUGCUGCUCCCUUCAUGUGUGAUGGAAUCCUCCAAACCCUGAGAACAAAAGCCUCUGCUCAGAGGGACCAGAGCAGAUGUGGACUCCACUCGUGCCUGUGAGCCCACGCGCAGCCAGGGAAGGAAAGAGUUGGGGCUCUUCACUGCUGGCUCUGCCUGACCUUCAGCAGGUCAUGUGAGAACUGACAGAGCUCCUCCGGGAUAUCCUGGUUUCCACAGACCUUGUCAGGAGCUGCUCCAUGGCGAGGCCUUUCAGCUUGGUCUGUAUCCUUGUCCAAACUUUCCUGUCUGCAAAAUAGAAUGACAAAUCUCAGGACGGCAAACAGCAGGGAGGGAGCCAUGGCAGGCGAGACAAGCUAGGGAGCAGAAAUGGCAGAUGAGGACCCAAAGACAUUUGGAGAUCAGCCCAGUGCUGAAGAAAAUCAUGCCCUUCCUCACCCCUUGCCAUCCUCCUCCCCAGUUCCACCAGGCUUUGGGGUGAUGAAGCACCCGGCAAAAACACCAGCUGUGAACUGCAGCUCCCCACAUUGCUCUGUCUGCCUGGAAACUGCAGCCCUGAGCACACCGGAGGGCCCCAGGCCAGCACCACCACCACGCUGCGCCACAUGAAUCCUUGGGGACAGGGACCCAUCAGGGGCUCCCUGGGGCUCCCUUGGCGCUCGCUGUCUCCUCACCAGAGCAGAUAGGCGAGGGUGGCACUUGGCACAGCACCAUGCUGCAGCUGAGGACACACUCCC